UAUACUCCUUCUGUAAGCCAAUACAAUGGGCUGGACAAGUGACCUUGGAAAUAUCAUUAUAAUGCUCCCAAGUUCUCCAGCUACCAUCAUUUCUGGAGGACAUCCACUCUGCACUGGAUAUCCAUGUGUGCUGCUGAUAUUUCAGAAGCUUAUGUUCUGUAUGCAUAGGAACUGAUAAGAAAUUAGGCUGAACUUUUGGAAUAUAAAAAUAGAAAGAGGAAUGUUUUUACCAAGAGAAAGAGUUCCAGCUGUUCAGAUGCAAUCUUCCACGCUUCUUAGACAAGAAGAACAGAUUGAAACUGGUGAUAGGAUCUGUAAGCAACAGAAGACUUAUUUACCAGGCAACACAUUCUUCAUGAACUGGCAGGCAGAUCUCAUUCCGUGAUGGUGAAGAAAACAUGUUCAAACACUCUCGAAGCAGAAUGAUUUCUUCAAAGCACUAAAGGACCUAUAUGAGAAGGGGGGGAUGUCUCAAGGCAAUGUAAGCAUGGUGUUGAUGUGCUCAUUUUUUCCAGGAUUGAGUACAGAGGCAAAUAUUUCAGGUGGGACCUGAAUAACACACUUACUGUUAGUAAAAAUUUCGUUGAAGACAGAAUAUUUUGUCUACAUAUAGUGCUCCUUUUGGCACCUGUAGAAUAUGGGAGGACCACAAAGAAGGGACAUCUCAGGAAAAACAAACAAACAAACAAAAAUGAUAGCAAUUAUUAACUCUCUCUGUAAUUAUUACUUUUACAAAUAGAAAUAAUUUUCCCAUAUAACUAUGCUUGAAAAUGAUGCAGAAACUCUUCAGACAGCUGUUAGAUAUUUUUUAAAAUCUGAUCGUACUGUAGGUUUCUGUUGUCAACAUAAAAUCCCUUUGAAUCAGGUACUAGAGCCUACAAUCCUCAAAGAGAAUCCAGAUUAAGGGAGCUGAUUACAGGAUGGUGGGAGACAACUGUCUAAUCCAUCAUCUUUACUUUUCCAAUUUAUUUUCACUUUGUUAUUGGUGAGGUGAUCAUAGAAUCAUAGAAUCAUUUGAGCUGGAAGAGAUCCUUAUCUCUUUUGAGUUAUCAUUUUGAGUGUGUUCAAAAUGUUAGUAAUAGUGAAUCUCCGAUUUAGUAACUGAAUUUCUGCACUUUGCAAUUACUAUCACAUUGACCAAGCAGGCUAAGGGUCCAUCUGCAGAAUAGCAAUUAAAUGCAAAAUGGUAGCAGAUUGCCAUGCAUUUAUAGAGAUGCUCAUUUUGUGUCAACUAAGUGUGUAGAUUGAAAAAAACUCUUGGACAAGCAACAGUAUUGAAACUGGACCUAAAUGAUAAAUGAAUUAAGAAAAAUAUUGACAGGUUUCCCUGCCUUCAUAACACACCAAAGAUUAAAGGCUUAUUCUACUUUAUUUUAAAAUGCUUUAAGGUUGCUAUAAUUAAAAGCAUUUCUUAAUGAACACAAUGAUUGUGACUAUAGAGAACAUAAUAGUAAAUACUGGUAAAUAAAACCAACCAUUAGGAAAACCAUCAACAUUGUCAUCAAAAGCACUAUUGCAGCUAUUAUCUGUAUUAAACUUAUAAAAUUAUUUCAAAAAAUUAUAAAAUAAUUACUAAGGCAAGAAUACAUCACAUUCUCUUCUGCUCUCUUUCACAUUUUUCCUAUCUGAAAGAUUCAUUUUCUGAAGUACAACCUUUUCUUCUGACCUUUAGAAAAUUAAAUAAAAAUGAGGGUUUUCCCUCCUCUUCACUUUCAGGAUGAAAAAUGUGCCUCUAAUAUG
ensembl:lncRNA